rnacentral:rRNA from 1 species
UACGGAGGGUGCAAGCGUUAUCCGGAUUCACUGGGUUUAAAGGGUGCGUAGGUGGGCAGGUAAGUCAGUGGUGAAAUCUCCGGGCUUAACCCGGAAACUGCCGUUGAUACUAUCUGUCUUGAAUGUAGUGGAGGUGAGCGGAAUAUGUCAUGUAGCGGUGAAAUGCAUAGAUAUGACAUAGAACACCAAUUGCGAAGGCAGCUCACUAAGCAGGUAUUGACGCUGAGGCACGAAAGCGUGGGGAUCAAACAGG